AAAGGUCUCCCUCCGUCUGAAAAUACUUGUCAUCAAAAUGGACAAAAAUGGAUGUAUCUAGAAGUCAUUUUGAUGACAAGUAUUUUCGGACGGAGGGAGUACAAC
rnacentral:pre_miRNA from 1 species